UGGGGAAUAUUGGACAAUGGGCGCAAGCCUGAUCCAGCAAUGCCGCGUGUGUGAAGAAGGCCUGCGGGUUGUAAAGCACUUUCGGUGGGGAGGAGAGGCUCAAGGUUAAUACCUUUGAGCGGAGACGUUACCCACAGAAGAAGCACCGGCUAACUCUGUGCCAGCAGCCGCGGUAAUACAGAGGGUGCGAGCGUUAAUCGGAAUUACUGGGCGUAAAGGGUGCGUAGGUGGUUAUAUAAGUUAGGUGUGAAAGUCCUGGGCUUAACCUGGGGACUGCGCCUAAUACUGUGUGACUAGAGUACUGUAGAGGAAGGUGGAAUUUCCGGUGUAGCAGUGAAAUGCGUAGAUAUCGGAAGGAACAUCAGUGGCGAAGGCGACUUUCUGGACAGAUACUGACACUGAGGCACGAAAGCGUGGGGAGCAAACAGGAUUAGAUACCCCCGUAGUCC
rnacentral:rRNA from 1 species